rnacentral:tRNA from 2 species
GCUGAUGUGGCUCAGUCGGUAGAGCGUCGCCUUGGUAAGGCGGAGGUCACGGGUUCAAUUCCCGUCAUCAGCU